rnacentral:rRNA from 1 species
UACGUAGGGAGCAAGCGUUGUCCGGAAUCAUUGGGCGUAAAGCGCGCGUAGGUGGCCCCAUAAGUCCGCUGUGAAAGUCAAAGGCUCAACCUUUGAAAGCCGGUCGGAUACUGUGGGACUAGAGUACGGAAGAGGCGAGUGGAAUUCCUGGUGUAGCGGUGGAAUGCGUAGAUAUCAGGAGGAACACCUGUGGCGAAAGCGGCUCUCUGGACCACAACUGACGCUGAGGCGCGAAAGCUAGGGAGCAAACAGG